GGAGCCGGCCAGACAGUCGCGUCAUCCCUUCGGGGGUGCCGAGGAAAGUCCGGGCUCCAUAGGGCAAGGUGCCAGGUAACGCCUGGGCGGCGCAAGCCGACGGAAAGUGCAACAGAAAGAUACCGCCUACGUCUUCUUCGGAAGGCCGGUAAGGGUGAAAUGGUGCGGUAAGAGCGCACCGCGAGUCUGGCAACAGACCGGCACGGCAAACCC
rnacentral:RNase_P_RNA from 1 species